CAGAGUUUUCCAAACUCCCAAACCCAUGUGAACUUACCAUUGUUGCCUCGGCGGAGCCUACCCUGUAGCUACCCUAUAAGGUGGUUACCCUGUAACGCCCCGCCGGUGGAUUUUCAAACUCUUGUUAUUUAUUGUAAUCUGAGCGUCUUAUUUUAAAUAAGUCA
rnacentral:misc_RNA from 1 species